CAGUAGCCGCGGGAAUACAGAGGGUGCAAGCGUUAAUCGGAAUUACUGGGCGUAAAGCGCGCGUAGGUGGUUUGUUAAGUUGGAUGUGAAAUCCCCGGGCUCAACCUGGGAACUGCAUCCAAAACUGGCAAGCUAGAGUAUGGUAGAGGGUGGUGGAAUUUCCUGUGUAGCGGUGAAAUGCGUAGAUAUAGGAAGGAACACCAGUGGCGAAGGCGACCACCUGGACUGAUACUGACACUGAGGUGCGAAAGCAUGGGGAGCAAACAGGAUUAGAUACCCCUGUAGUCCCUGUCUCUUAUAC
rnacentral:rRNA from 1 species